rnacentral:lncRNA from 1 species
CCCGAGUUGGGAGCUUGGAUAGGAGCUGAUAGAAUUAUUUUCUUCUGGUUCUCCAUGACGAUCUUGACGAGUCAUUGGUUGUAAUCAUCAGUGCUGGACCGCUUAUAAGAUCAACAACAAAGAGUUGAUGUCUUCGAUAUAUGGCCGAGAGUGACGUUCGGGAAUGAAAUCUGAUGAAGUUGCCCGUUCUGUUAUUAGGUUGUCUAUAUGAUAUUCAUCAUUUAGAGUCCACCUCAAUACUGCAGCU